rnacentral:rRNA from 1 species
CAGCAGCCGCGGGAAUACGAAGGGGGCUAGCGUUGCUCGGAAUGACUGGGCGUAAAUGGCGCGUAGGCGGCUGUUACAGUCAGACGUGAAAUUCCUGGGCUCAACCUGGGGGCUGCGUUUGAUACGUGAUGGCUUGGGUUCGGAAGAGGGUCGUGGAAUUCCCAGUGUAGAGGUGAAAUUCGUAGAUAUUGGGAAGAACACCGGUGGCGAAGGCGGCGACCUGGUCCGAUACUGACGCUGAGGCGCGAAAGCGUGGGGAGCAAACAGGAUUAGAUACCCCUGUAGUCCCUGUCUCUUAUAC